rnacentral:rRNA from 1 species
AUACGUAGGUGACAAGCGUUAUCCGGAUUUAUUGGGUUUAAAGGGAGCGCAGGCGGAGAUGCAAGCGUGACGUCAAAUUUCGGGGCUCAACCCCGUCUCGCGUCGCGAACUGCGUCCCUUGGUUGCGGGAAGGGGAGGCGGAACUCGUGGUGUAGCGGUGAAACGCAUAGAUAUCACGAAGAACUCCGAUCGCGAAGGCAGCCUUCCGGCCCGUCAACGACGCUCAUGCUCGAAGGUGCGGGUAUCAAACAGGAUUAGAUACCCUGGUAGUCCGCACAGUAAACGAUGGACACCCGCGGUUUGGCCUGUAUGGCUGAGCCGCCAAGCGAAAGCGUUAAGUGUCCCGCCUGGGGAGUGCGCCGGCAACGGUGAAACUCAAAUGAAUUGACGGGG